ACAGGGUGAAGACAGCCUUUUUCUCAAACGUCAUUCGCGUUCUUGAAUGUGUGUUUACGCUUUCUCAGUUUUCUAAGUGUCAAAUUUCAAGAGUUAAUUUACGAGUUUUGAAGUGCUUAGGGUUCAACGUGAGUAAUUCAAAAGGACCAUUCAUGCUCUAAUUUCCAAAAAAUCAUUUGGGAUGUUUACUUAACUCCAAUUUUAUGACUUUUUGACCCAAAAGUAACACUACACAGCCAGGAAAACCAUUUCAAACACCCGGACGUUCCAAGGGCAAAAGGGGAAUGACGUCUCGAACGCCGUCCAUCUGGUUCACCUCGACCCAAAAGAAGAUUCCAAAGGAUGGUUCCGUUUGAUAAUUUACGCCUUGGAACCUGACAGGUGACUCUAAGUCCAUGGGGUUGACAACGAUCUCGAGCACCCUGUAGGCAUGGCAGCCCACAUGAUGCAACCCUGACUCCUGGAUAACCUGAAGGCAAAUCCAGCAUCUUUCGGCAGGAAAAUUAAAAAACGGCUCAGACCCACACCCUACACAAAGACGAGGAGCAAAAAGGUUUGUUAUUCCGACGAAAUAGAGAGUCCUCAUUUCCCAUUGAUGACGAAUUGGCAGUAAUCCUUGUUGGGCACAGUUAACAGACCUCCAAAUCCAACCCUCAGGACCUUGGGCUACCGAAAUCUGACCAUAUACAUGCCGGAUUAGAACGUUAACUUCAGGAAUGAUGUCUGGGAGACACAAGCAGUUCCAGUGCUGGUCUUAAAUCCCGGAUAUUUUGAAAUUUCUCUGAUAAAUAAUUCAGAGCACAAUACACCAACAGGGAGAUGAGAAUCAUUUCAAUCAUUUUGACAAGUCACAACAUCAGCUCACUUUUAUGCAAGGAAAAUAAAAGAAAACGAAAAGAAUUUUCGAGAUCCAGAAUCAAUGUAAGAUUCGAUAGGAAUGAAGAUUUGAACGAGCUUCACCGGUUCUGUAGUGGGGGAAAAGAACCCAACUUUUCGGAAUAUCAGUUGCAGGUUAAUUAGGUCUGAAGAUAGUGGCAAGCGGAUAAAUUAAGCUAUAGCACUCAUAGCUUUUUAUUACCAAUUCUAGGAGUGUACUGAUUUUAUUAUUUUUGCAUUCAAAAUGGCGUCUCUCGCGAGCCAGCGAGUGCACAUUGUCAAGCCUCAGAAAGAGCUCCUGCAAAUGCAUCGUAUACGUCUUAUUAGGCUGAUUGGGAGAGAAGCUUGUUGGAAAAUUAGCAUCUCUACCAUAAACUAAAGUGAAGGGAGCAAAGCCUGUUUCCUUGUGAACAUUCACAUUAUAAGAGAAAACUGCAAAUCGAAUCCAAUCAUCCCAGUCAAAUUUUCCUUCGAAACUUCUGAGAUAUUCAAUCAAGCAAAUCUAGAAGCCUGUUUUCUUUAGUCAGCAGAAAGUUUACAAUCCUCAGAAUAAAUUUCAAAAUAUUCUUCAAGUUCAACUGGUGGUAUUGUUAAAUUUAUUUACUGAUUAUUGGAAUUUAUAAAGAAGAUUUUAGCAGUUCCGUUUUCAUUAAAAAUCAAAGACUCACCCGCAAAAAUUCCAGGGCCACAAUGAAUUCUACGUAAACUGAUUGUCUUAUGGGAGUCAAACGGAAAAUUAAUAUUUCCUAUUUGAAGCAGUCACUUUCAAAAUUUACAAUGGCGUUGUGUUUUUUGAGGAAAGGAAUACCAAGGAUAUCUUCUUGAGGAAUGGGAAAUGAUUCUGAUACAACGUGGAAAGAAGCUUCGAGACCCCUUAUGAUCAACCUGAUUUCAUCGAUAGUGGCAACCACUUCCGGGCCUAUUCCAACCAAAUGAAUUAUUCGCUUUUUAUUUAUCCAAACCGUGGGACUCACCACAUUUUCUUUAAUUAAGUUCACUCCAGCACCAAUAUCAAAUAAAAAGAUCACCUUAUUCUUUGAAAAAGAAAAAUGAUCAAAUUCUACUGUCGCAUUUGGACCGAAUUCAUUAAACUGUCCGAGUGAGAGGAUGAUGCGCUGGGUUGAGAGGGGUUUACACUUGGAGUCGUCUGGCCUCUCGCCAGACAACCCGCGUCGAAGUUUAAAUGACUCAAAUUUGAUUUUUGUCUAAAUUUAGACCGUUCCCUUUCAUGCCUUCUUUUAAUGUUACAAUUCUCUACAGAAUGGUUACUUCGAUAACAAUAACUAAAAUCCGUACUCUCUUUGUCCUUUACAUUUCUUUUAAUCUUUUUUGGACAGUUUCGCUUAUAAUGUCCAAAUUCUUUACAAUGAUAACACUGCACAGACUCUAAAUUUCGUACAGGCUUAGUAUCAUCCUCUACUCGUAUAUGAGCUACUCUCUUUAAUAUAUCUUGCCCUACUUUAUUCAUUAAAAUAGAUCCCGAUGAGGUAGAUGGAAUGAAGCCAGACAUAGAUCCAUGAACUCUUCCCCAACUUUUCACUUUUUGAUCGGCUUUAAUGGCUAAUGCAAUACCAUCAUCCAAAGUGUUAAUUUCUUUAUCAUCAAUGGCCAUAUAAAUGUUGAAAUCUAAUCCGCGUAAAAAAUUACCAAUCACAGUCUCUUUAUACGCUUCACAACGGCCCAUACCUCUUACUCCGGGGGUGUUUUCCAUUACUUGAGAAGUUAAUUUAUUGAAAAUUUGAUUAAUGCGAGCCCCAUAUUCUUGAAUUGACUCAUCCAGUUUCCUCUUAACGUUAGCUAAAGUCUGUAAAAUUUGACUUACAUCUUCUUCCUGGGCGUAAAUACGUUCCAGAGUUUUUAAGAUGUCAUUUGGUUCGAAAUCGCUUUUAUCUUGAAUAUGAUAACGCGCUUCGCCGGUCUCAUGUCUAUGCAAAUCAUUCCAACCCUCGCCACUUUGAUCUGAACUCAAAGAAUUUGUGCUAUCACUAUCAGAAGGAUUUUCGCUCACUACUAAUCUGGAUCGCAAUUCUUGAACUUCGUUCACAUCUUUCGCAUUAUUAUCUAAACGACGUUUCCUAUUCGGGGCCAUGUUACAAAAAAAAAAAAUUUCUAAAGACUUACUCUUUUGACGACAAUAUUUUGCAGACAAAUAAUCCAAUUAAUAGUGCAGAAUAAAAUUCACAACACUGUUGACCUUAAUUUUUCACAUUUAUUCACUCAAUUCUUCAUUGCUCCAGGAAGAUUUUCUGAAUUGCUUGAGUGUCCUUGAUCCUUCAGGAAUUUCCUUCGGGUAGUUGUUAUUGAUUUCUCUGCGGUUGAUCCUACGGUGCCAUACUUCCUUCCGUUUUGGGCAGAUAAUUCAGCAUCAAUUUUUUAUUAUCCACGUUGAGGUAAGGAUUUUCUUAUUAAAAAUUUAUAUGAUCCAUUUAGGCCUACGGUUAUUGAGGAAUAGUUUGGUGGUCUCUAGUUAACCGUUAACAACCUUGGUGCAAUUGUCGACACCCUAUGCUACCGGGAGUGAAACCACCCGAAAACCCUGGUAGAAGAUUGCGGCUUUUAUUUUAUAAUGUUUAUUGUUAUAAAUUGAUAAUACUGUUCCAUUCAUUUUUUAGAUUCAAAAGACAGCGCCUUUUAUCUGUGGAGUAGUCUCGUUUGUGGUAAGACGAACAGCCUUGAAUUUCAAUCAGUGAGUCAGUAGUCCAGAGACCCAGUUUUUCUUCAAUUUAUUUGAUUUAUUCCUUUAUGGUGCAACACAUCCCACCGCUGUCAUCAAUUGUAAUGCCCAAAUUUCACCUAGAUUUUCCAUCGACAAUUCACUGCUCUCUGAUUGGACAUCUGAACGGGAUCGUUGUUGCCGUUGAUUCGUUGAAACGAAAACCAUUAAAGGAACUUAUUU